UAAAGAAUGUCUUUCCGUGUGCUGACUCACCACAGAUAACGCCUUUAUUCCUGUUCCCUCUGCCCUCACGUGGUCCAGGUCCACAUCAACCAGGGGGCCGUAUUCUACGGGCAACGCGGUAUUGAUCACAUCUGGAUCCUACAGGUGGGAGAAAUGAAUGGAGUCAAACUUUGAAUCGCAGACCAGACUUAGCAAUGAUCUCAUCCAAAUUGAUUUUACAGAACAGGAAGCCCUUCAGUGUUUACUGGGGAUAUAUUUAUCUGUAAGCCCCGGGGCAUAAGAAACAAUGAGAAAUCUUCCUCCCCUUUGAAGAGCAUGGAGGAGAAGCAGGAUUACUGACAUGUGUGCAGGGGCUGGGACGCAGCCCCCACCUGGGGCAGGAGAGUGAGGUCAGGAAAGGCUCUGCAGAGACAGUUGGGCAAAUCUUACAGAUUAAUGGAUUUUUAAAAAGUAUAAGUUACUUAAAAAAAAAAAUGAUUCCAGUCUAUUCAUAAUAAAAUCCUUUCAACCAAAAA